rnacentral:rRNA from 1 species
AGAGUUUGAUCCUGGCUCAGGACGAACGCUGGCGGCGUGCUUAACACAUGCAAGUCGAACGGAAAGGCCCUUUCGGGGGUACUCGAGUGGCGAACGGGUGAGUAACACGUGGGUGAUCUGCCCUGCACUUCGGGAUAAGCUUGGGAAACUGGGUCUAAUACCGGAUAGGACUACGAAUCGCAUGGUUUGUGGUGGAAAGCUUUUGCGGUGUGGGAUGGGCCCGCGGCCUAUCAGCUUGUUGGUGGGGUGAUGGCCUACCAAGGCGACGACGGGUAGCCGGCCUGAGAGGGUGUCCGGCCACACUGGGACUGAGAUACGGCCCAGACUCCUACGGGAGGCAGCAGUGGGGAAUAUUGCACAAUGGGCGCAAGCCUGAUGCAGCGACGCCGCGUGGGGGAUGACGGCCUUCGGGUUGUAAACCUCUUUCACCACCGGCGAAGCCCAUGAUUUUUGUUGUGGGUGACGGUAGGUGGAGAAGAAGCACCGGCCAACUACGUGCCAGCAGCCGCGGUAAUUC